rnacentral:rRNA from 1 species
UACGUAGGGGGCUAGCGUUGUCCGGAAUCAUUGGGCGUAAAGCGCGUGUAGGCGGUCCGGUCAGUCCGCUGUGAAAGUCGGGGGCUCAACCCUCGAAUGCCGGUGGAUACUGUCGGGCUAGAGUGCGGAAGAGGCGAGUGGAAUUCCUGGUGUAGCGGUGAAAUGCGCAGAUAUCAGGAAGAACACCCGUGGCGAAGGCGGCUCUCUGGGACGGUACUGACGCUGAGACGCGAAAGCGUGGGGAGCGAACAGG